CCUACGGGUGGCAGCAGUGAGGAAUAUUGGUCAAUGGACGAGAGUCUGAACCAGCCAAGUAGCGUGAAGGAUGACUGCCCUAUGGGUUGUAAACUUCUUUUAUAUGGGAAUAAAACGUUCCACGUGUGGGCUUUUGUAUGUACCAUAUGAAUAAGGAUCGGCUAACUCCGUGCCAGCAGCCGCGGUAAUACGGAGGGUCCGAGCGUUAUCCGGAUUUAUUGGGUUUAAAGGGUGCGUAGGUGGGUUGUUAAGUCAGUUGUGAAAGUUUGCGGCUCAACCGUAAAAUUGCAGUUGAAACUGGCAGUCUUGAGUACAGUAGAGGUAGGCGGAAUUCGUGGUGUAGCGGUGAAAUGCUUAGAUAUCACGAAGAACUCCGAUUGCGAAGGCAGCUCACUGGACUGCAACUGACACUGAGGCACGAAAGUGUGGGUAUCAAACAGGAUUAGAUACCCCAGUAGUC
rnacentral:rRNA from 1 species